GACAGAGGUGCCGAGCGUUAGGCGGAAUCACUGGGCUUAAAGCGUGUGUAGGCGGACCGUUAAGUACCUUGUGAAAUCCCCCCGGCUCAACCGGGGGAACGGCUGGGUAUACUGGCGGUCUUGAGCCAUCCAGGGGCAGUCGGAACAGACGGUGGAGCGGUGAAAUGCGUAGAUAUCGUCUGGAACGCCGAAGGUGAAAACAGAACUGGCUG
rnacentral:rRNA from 1 species